GCUGUGCGGAUCGCGCAACAACCGAGCCGCCUCCUGCUGGCGCCGACCACCACAGCGAGGAGCACGACAGCGGCGACGGCGUCACGUCCCAGCUGAAGCAGCGGACGCCGCUCCCACGACGCCCCGUCACAGCCGCACCAACAGGAGGGAGAACAUCGGUCGCGGAGGCGGAGGCGGCGGGGGCGGCGCCAUGAACUGCUCGGAUAUCGCGGUCGCCGCCCUCCCCAGCCACGCCAAUACCAGCCCCAACGCCUGUCUGGAGCUCAACAUCCGCGCCGUCAAUGGCUCCGACGAAGGCAUCUACGACGUGCCGGCGGCUGUGGUGGCGCUGCUGUCGCUGUGCUACGGCUCCAUCUCGGUGCUGGCCGUGGUGGGCAACGCGCUCGUCAUGUGGAUCGUGGCCACGUCGCGCCGCAUGCAGAACGUCACCAACUGCUUCAUCGCCAACCUGGCGCUCGCCGACAUCGUCAUCGGCCUCUUCGCCAUCCCCUUCCAGUUCCAGGCGGCGCUGCUGCAGCGCUGGAACCUGCCGCACUUCAUGUGCGCCUUCUGCCCCUUCGUGCAGGUGCUCAGCGUCAACGUCAGCAUCUUCACGCUCACUGCCAUCGCCGUGGAUCGUCACCGGGCCAUCCUCAACCCACUCAGCGCGAGGCCCACCAAACUGCGCGCGCGGCUCAGCAUCGCGGCCAUCUGGUGCCUCAGCGCCGCCCUCGCCGCCCCCAUGGCCGCCGCCCUCAGGGUCACCAUCGUCACCGAGAAGAUCGGUGAGCAGUGGGUGUCGAAGCCUUUCUGCGUGAACGUGCACCUGUCUAACAAGGCGAUGAUGUCGUACCGGAUGGUGCUGUUCCUGGUGCAGUACCUCAUCCCGCUGUGCGUCAUCACGUACGUGUACUCGCGCAUGGCGCUACGCCUCUGGGGCUCCAAGGCGCCGGGCAAUGCGCAGGAUCUGAGGGACGCCACGCUGAUGAAGAACAAGAAGCGGGUAAUCAAGAUGCUCGUCAUCGUGGUCGCCCUUUUCGCUCUCUGCUGGCUGCCAUUGCAGACGUACAACGUACUGCAAGACGUAUUCCCGUACAUCAACGAGUACCACUAUAUCAACAUCAUCUUCUUCUGUUGUGACUGGUUGGCCAUGAGCAACAGUUGCUAUAACCCGUUCAUCUACGGAAUUUACAAUGAGAAGUUCAAGCGCGAGUUCCGGCAGCGCUUCCCGUGGAAGAAGAGUGCGUGCUCAGCUUCGCCCGUCACAGAGACGGAAGACCUGGACGGCUGCGGGGGCGGCAGCGGUGGCGGUGGCGGCGGCGGUGGGGGCGCGCUGUGCUCCACACGCAGCUCUCUGCGUGUCCCGAACUGCACCCCGGGCGGCUACGACUGGAGGCGUGCGUACAGCGCCGCCCCCGUGCGGCAGCAGCCCUCGGCCAGUCAGCACGACGCAGUUUCAGGUUUGCUGCGGGGGUCGGCGUCUCGUCGUGUGGCGUGUCCUGUUGGUGGUGGCGGCGGCGGCGGCGGUGCUGGUGGUUGCUGCGAGCAGGCUGGCCAACCGCAGAACGGACACUUGGCCGGCCGGGACACGGAGCUGUUCGUGUUCGGCGGCGCCAGGAGCAGGCACCACCACAGGCACCACCUGUUCGGCAGUCGCGAGGAGCUCUGCUCGCUCUAAAGACGUCUGAACCCAGUGGUAAGAGGCCGAAAGAUGCUCACGAUGACGGACGACGAUGUCGCAAAUUCUAAUGAGUUUCUUUGUGAGAUUGUACGACAGUGUCGGUUCCAAGCCUACAUAAUCAACCAAGAGGAGCUAGUCUGAUCAUCAUGUAGGUCCUCAAACAGCUGUGGAAAACGAAAAUUUCUUCUUCUGGAGAGACUCAGGCAGUGAACAGGAAAAUCAAUCGUCCUGUGCAUUGAACAACAACAACAACAAAAACAGAAUCACUCGCACCCAUCUUCUGCAAACUGUGAAUUUAAUAUUAUUCUAUGAAAGGCUGUCUCAUAAUAAUUGCUGGAUGUGAUCCCAUAAUACUUGAUAAUAGUGAAGGAGUGUACUCCAACUGAAAUAUUUGAAACAAAUGGUUUCCUUUCGGAGAUUUAAUACAUAUGUAUAUAGAAAUCUUUUAUAUUAAGAAGUUUCAUUAUAUUACAAUGCACAUCUCUGUAAAUUAUUUGCAAUAAUAAAUAUUUUGAAACACUGAA